rnacentral:rRNA from 1 species
GUCUAUAGCCAUACCACCCUGAACAUGCCCAAUCUUGUCUGAUCUCGGAAGCUAAGCAAGGCGGGGCCCAGUUAGUACUUGGAUGAGAGAAAUGAACUAUUAAGCCAUGAGAAAACACGGAGUAAGUAAACU